GUCCAUUUCACGUUCAAACAAUGGCUCUCGUACGAUCAACGAAGUUAAGCAACGUCGAGCCUGGUCAUUACUUAGAUGGGUGACCGCUUUGGAAUACCAGGUGAUGUAAGC